UACGUAGGGUGCGAGCGUUGCCCGGAUUUAUUGGGCGUAAAGGGCGCGCAGGCGGCCACGCACGUCCGUUGUGAAAUCGCUCGGCUCAACUGGGCGGGGUCAGCGGAUACGGCGUGGCUGGAGCAAGCUAGGGGGCAAUGGAAUUCCCGGUGUAGUGGUGGAAUGCGUAGAUAUCGGGAAGAACACCCGUGGCGAAGGCGGUUCUCUGGGACGGUACUGACGCUGAGACGCGAAAGCGUGGGGAGCGAACAGG
rnacentral:rRNA from 1 species